ensembl:snoRNA Gm25376 predicted gene, 25376
AAUGACUAAGACAUUGCAAGUGUGUGUAUCUGUUGUGUCACAACUGCAUCAGUAGUUGUCAGAGAGGAGAGAGGCUGUGUCGAUACUCAGUGUUCUGACCUGUGAACAUCUGAAUGAUUAGUAGCCUAGCAUU